AUUGAACGCUGGCGGCAUGCCUUACACAUGCAAGUCGAGGGGUAACGAGAGGAAAGCUUGCUUUCCUUGUCGACGACCGGCGCACGGGUGAGUAACGCGUAUCCAACCUGCCCCCAACUAGGGAAUAACCUUGCGAAAGUAAGACUAAUGCCCUAUACUUUCCUCAGAUGACAUCUGACGAGGAAUAAAGAUUUAUCGGUUGUGGAUGGGGAUGCGUCUGAUUAGCUUGUUGGCGGGGUAACGGCCCACCAAGGCAACGAUCAGUAGGGGUUCUGAGAGGAAGGUCCCCCACAUUGGAACUGAGACACGGUCCAAACUCCUACGGGAGGCAGCAGUGAGGAAUAUUGGUCAAUGGGCGGAAGCCUGAACCAGCCAAGUAGCGUGCAGGAUGACGGCCCUAUGGGUUGUAAACUGCUUUUAUACAGGAAUAAAGUUAGCCACGUGUGGUUAUUUGUAGGUACUGUAUGAAUAAGGACCGGCUAAUUCCGUGCCAGCCGCCGCGGUAA
rnacentral:rRNA from 1 species